GAUGAACGCUGGCGGCGUGCCUAAUACAUGCAAGUCGAGCGAACAGAUAAGGAGCUUGCUCCUUUGACGUUAGCGGCGGACGGGUGAGUAACACGUGGGUAACCUACCUAUAAGACUGGGAUAACUUCGGGAAACCGGAGCUAAUACCGGAUAACAUUUGGAACCGCAUGGUUCUAAAGUGAAAGAUGGUUUUGCUAUCACUUAUAGAUGGACCCGCGCCGUAUUAGCUAGUUGGUAAGGUAACGGCUUACCAAGGCGACGAUACGUAGCCGACCUGAGAGGGUGAUCGGCCACACUGGAACUGAGACACGGUCCAGACUCCUACGGGAGGCAGCAGUAGGGAAUCUUCUGCAAUGGGCGAAAGCCUGACGGAGCAACGCCGCGUGAGUGAUGAAGGGUUUCGGCUCGUAAAACUCUGUUAUUAGGGAAGAACAAACGUGUAAGUAACUGUGCACGUCUUGACGGUGCCUAAUCAGAAAGCCACGGCUAACUACGUG
rnacentral:rRNA from 1 species